rnacentral:rRNA from 1 species
AUUGAACGCUGGCGGAAUGCUUUACACAUGCAAGUCGAGCGGCAGCGCGGGGGCAACCCUGGCGGCGAGCGGCGAACGGGUGAGUAAUGCAUCGGAACAUGUCCGGUUGUGGGGGAUAACCUGGCGAAAGCCAGGCUAAUACCGCAUGAGCUCGAGAGAGGAAAGCGGGGGACCGUAAGGCCUCGCGCGACCGGGUUGGCCGAUGUCCGAUUAGCUAGUUGGUGGGGUAAAGGCUACCAAGCGAUGAUCGGCAGCUGGUCUGAGAGGAUGAUCAGCCACACUGGGACUGAGACACGGCCCAGACUCCUACGGGAGGCAGCAGUGGGGAAUUUUGGACAAUGGGGGCAACCCUGAUCCAGCCAUUCCGCGUGAGUGAAGAAGGCCU